CCUACGGGGGGCUGCAGUGGGGAAUUUUGGACAAUGGGGGAAACCCUGAUCCAGCCAUGCCGCGUGCGGGAAGAAGGCCUUCGGGUUGUAAACCGCUUUCGGACGGAAAGAAAUCGCACGGACUAAUACUCUGUGUGGAUGACGGUACCGUAAGAAGAAGCACCGGCUAACUACGUGCCAGCAGCCGCGGUAAUACGUAGGGUGCGAGCGUUCAUCGAGCUUACUGGGCGUGAAGCUUGCGCCGGACGUGAAAUCCCCGGGCUUAACCUUGGAACUGCGUGUGGAACUGGGAGACUAGAGUGUGUCAGAGGGAGGUGGAAUUCCGCGUGUAGCAGUGAAAUGCGUAGAUAUGCGGAGGAACACCGAUGGCGAAGGCAGCCUCCUGGGAUAACACUGACGCUCAUGCACGAAAGCGUGGGGAGCAAACAGGAUUAGAUACCCUUGUAGUC
rnacentral:rRNA from 1 species